rnacentral:tRNA from 1 species
GCGGAAGUGGCGGAACUGGUAGACGCGCAAGGUUGAGGGCCUUGUGGGAGCAAUCCUGUAGGGGUUCGAGUCCCCUCUUCCGCACCA